GACGUAGGGGGCCAGCGUUGUUCGGAAUUACUGGGUGUAAGGGUUCGUAGGCGGUGCGGCAAGUUGGGAGUGAAAUCUCUGGGCUUAACCCAGAGGCUGCUUCCAAAACUGCUGUGCUUGAGUGUGGGAGAGGCGCGUGGAAUUGCAGGUGUAGCGGUGAAAUGCGUAGAUAUCUGCAGGAACACCCGUGGCGAAAGCGGCGCCGCUGGCCCAUACUGACGCUGAGGAACGAAAGCGUGGGGAGCAAACAGGAUUAGAACCGUACCCACGUAG
rnacentral:rRNA from 1 species